rnacentral:rRNA from 1 species
GGAUCAUUACCGUGUAAAUGCGCCGGGGGGCAACCCCUCCGGCUCGCUACACCCCUUGCGUAUCUCUCUGGUUGCUUCGGCGGGUCGCAGGACUUCCUGCCAUCGCCCGUUGUGGGCGAUGUGCUCCCCGCCGAUAGACUCCAAACUCUGGCUUUUGCGGUAAUGUCCGAGUCAAUACUUAAAAUUAAAAUAAAACUUUCAACGAUGGAUCUCUUGGUUCCAGGAUCGAUGAAGAACGCAGCGAAAUGCGAUAAAUAAUGUGAAUUGCAGAAUUCAGUGAAUCAUCGAGUUUUUGAACGCACAUUGCGCCCCUUGGUAUUCCGAGGGGCCACGCCUGUUCGAGCGUCAUUCANACCAUCAAGCUUCGCUUGGUAUUGGGCUACCCACUGCUCUCGAGCGGUGACGGCCUUGAAGACGUUGGCGGCACGGCCCUACCUGAACGGCGUGACGACAUCUCUGCGGGACGGGGAGGGAUCGGCUUGCUCAAUCAACCCAUUUUUUUUUGGCCUC